GGGAAAACGCCCUAUCAGGCUGUCGGCACUGUCUGAAAUAACUAGAGGAGAGUUCACCCAGGCUCUUCGCGGCCCGGGAUCCUUAAAGGCCUAGGAAAAGAAUCUGCCUCUGUCUGUGGCACCCUUGGAUGCAGAGGUGGGCUUUCAUGUUGUUCAGCCAGUGAUCCUGCUACCUGGCCCUUCUCAUGAGAUUUAGAAGCUAUAAAGACCCACAACUCCCUUCUUUAUUCACGGAUUGGUUGCACCAAACAAAGCGAGAAAGCUUUCUAUGCCUUAAAUCCCCUUUAGACACCUGUUCUUUUCAUCUUUAGCUUCUUAGUCGAGGUUAGCAAUGAUAGUGAUUCCCCAAGCUUGCCCCAUGCAGAGGAAGUCACAAGCUGAGAAAAAGAAGCUGAAGAAGAUGUGAGAUUUGCUGACUUGACACUGCACUGAAUUGCUGUGACAUUUGCAUCUUUCUCCGAUUGUGUAGUGUGCAUAACGUUCAUUGUUUGCAUUGCUUGUACAUAGUAAGUUGCCAUGCAAAUCACAGUUCAUUAUUAUAACAGAUAUUCACUUGUAGCUGGG